rnacentral:misc_RNA from 1 species
AUUAUCAUGUCUGCUGGCAGCUAUAUUGACCUUUCCAGCUGCUGUGGUUGAACAACCCUUAUUUCCAUCUAUGUCUGUGGGCCUAGCCAAUAAUCUUUUUUCUGGGGUUAAUAAACCAAAGUCCCAGUCAAUAGCUUCCUCACGGCAACUAUCGUCAAGGUAGAGAGGAUUUUGGGGGUCAAUUACUUUGGAAAAUGCUAAUGCAACACUGCUAGCCAUUUUUCGAAUCAAAUGGUCAGUACUUCCCAACCUACAGCUCACUCCUUCAAGAAUACAGUGCAUUGCAUCCUUGGUUGCAUCUAAAUCUUCUUUAGACAUCUUCUCUAAGCAAAGGCCUAAGGCAGCAGUUAUAUAGGCUUGCUGCUCAAUUGGAAUUGAUUGCACAAAAUCCCGUUUGGACCAAGUCUUCACAAGACGCUGAAGAGUCUCUGAGAGAGUACGGAGGUUACAGGAUUUUACUGAUGAGGACUUUUCAGGGGAACACUGAAAAACAGCAAAGUGAAGAAUCCAUCUCAAGCAUUUACUAGGGAAUACUUUCCACACUAAGAAUUUCUCAAGAAACAUGGACCUAACUGAGGCUUGUUGAUGGAAAACCUGAUGAAACAAUAUCCACAAAAUCCAGUGAGCUUCAAUAUCUCCUGUGUUCUGAGCUGCUAAUUGUUUGAGUAGCUGUUCGGUCAUUCUUUCUAAGGAGUAAGGGUCUUUUAUUGACUCCAUCAUCUUUAACCAGAAUCGCAGACCAGGCGUGGAUUGAAAUGCUUCAUCCAUAGGGACAUCCGAAUUUGGUGGUAAGAAGCUCUGUACGUGUUUAUGUAUUUCAGGAACCACUACACCUAACAGCACAUCUGUUGAUCCUCGCCGACUAAUGCGAGCAAAUGCUUCACCCAUUAACAG